rnacentral:rRNA from 1 species
AACGAACGCUGGCGGCAGGCUUAACACAUGCAAGUCGAGCGCCCCGCAAGGGGAGCGGCAGACGGGUGAGUAACGCGUGGGAAUCUACCCAUCUCUACGGAAUAACGCAUGGAAACGUGUGCUAAUACCGUAUACGUCCUUCGGGAGAAAGAUUUAUCGGAGAUGGAUGAGCCCGCGUUGGAUUAGCUAGUUGGUGGGGUAAAGGCCUACCAAGGCGACGAUCCAUAGCUGGUCUGAGAGGAUGAUCAGCCACACUGGAACUGAGACACGGCCCAGACUCCGACGGGAGGCAGCAGUGGGGAAUAUUGGACAAUGGGCGCAAGCCUGAUCCAGCCAUGCCGCGUGAGUGAUGAAGGCCCUAGGGUUGUAGAGCUCUUUCACCGGUGAAGAUAAUGACGGUAACCGAAGAAGCAGCCCCGGCUAAUUUCGUGCCAGCAGCCGCAGUAACAC